GCUCGUAAUAGGAAGAUAAGGAAGGGGUAUUGGGUAAUUUGGCAUACGACUAUAAUUUUUGAAGAUGAGGAUAAGAACUUAUCGGCAGUUUUAGACGCGAUAAAGGUGACUUCGUGGAAGUGGGGCUUAAGCAGACUAAAUUUGCCUCCGUGUCUAUUCUACGAGUGGUCAUGGGAUCCGGGAGACUGUUUGACUCGUUAAUUUGGUGUUCACAGGUUGUUUUUGCUAAUCUGUCAGAGCAGCUACUGUUAGUUUGUCUGGCUUUUUCGGUGUUUACGGCAUUUUUUCUGUUUUCUAGUUAGAACAGUUCCUGUGAUUGGGUUAGGUAUGUGUGCCUUCAACCUUUGCGUUUUUUAGCUUUUGUUCUUCUAACUUAUUGUAGCCUUGUUACUCUUAUGGCAUUUCUUAUGCUUUAGAGUUUAUAAUAAUAUUUUGCUUUUCAAAAAAUAAAUAAAUAGUAGAAUGUUAUGAACUCUAGAGUAGUAUUUUUUGUCACAACUCUAGAGUAGUAUGUAACCUCUUUAUAUACUUUUUCAUUUGAAAUGUUGUGAUUGACUGUGUACUAUUUUGAUUCUUCUUUACAACACAUUCAUUAUGUUUUGGUUGAGUUAUUGGUUAAUCCACUAGCAUUAUGGUUUAACAACCGUAACAUGCUUUGGUGCUUGCAGAUAAUGUUAUGUCACAUAUAGUGAUAAUCAGAGGAAAGUAUUAUGAACCACUGAAUUGGUGAUUUGCUAAACUAAAGUGGAGCAACAUUUUAUGGCAGUAAAAAAUAAGUUGAAUGAUCUUCAAGCACCAAGAGAAAAUCACACGAGUUGUAAAAUCAAGUAUUCACGCGGACAAUGGCGUCUAGUAUACGAUUAGUAAUACUAAUUCAAAUAUUGUGUAAUUGCUUGAUGAAACAUUACCAACACCUUGUUUGGAUAGUCCCUCUUAUAAUUCCCGAUCUCAUUACUGUUGUAGCACUAAACAGUUUUUCUGCUUCUGGUAUUCAACUUCGAUCUCUUUCUCGCAAAAACCCGUUUGCACUCCAUCCUCCCAUGCUCUUGACUCCCCUUUACAUGCAUGCCUUCACCUCGAGAUCCUUCCACUGCAUUAUGGUUUCUUUGACAUUAACACAUAAUUGAAGACAUGAUGUCUUCCAAUAUGACAGUGUCUUUCCCAUAUGUAAGAGGGGUCCCCAAGUGUACAUAGGAAUUAGGCAAGGAACACAACAUUGUUAUUGCUUUAUCCUCGUCAUUAAUCUUCAGUAAAUCUUUGAUAACUAGAUUGAAAGUAUUGACAUGUUGCAUAUAUAUCGUCGAAACCCUUCUACAUCAUCUUCAGCUCGUAGGACCUUAGCCACAUAUACAAUUUGUUCGUUAGGGACUUCGACAUAUACCUGACUCUUCAAUUUCACUCAUAUACAUCUCCGAGAGAUGUCAAGUCCACGACGUGAUACAUCACCUCAUCGACCAAAUGUAGUCAUAUGGUUUCCUGCAGCCCUCUCCCUCAACUAUUCCCAAUCCAACUUAUUCAUGUUUUCCAGUUUCUAUUUCUCAUGCAGCAGAAACUGUCAAAAACCUACAGAUUGAACUAAUAGAUACAAAAAGUUGAGUGAGAUUCCCAUCCUUUUAGUCCAAAAUUACAAUAUUUGCAAGUUUGUGGAAUGUGAAUU
rnacentral:lncRNA from 1 species